rnacentral:lncRNA from 1 species
GUGUUCGUGAUUUUAAAGCUGAUUUCAAUGAAGUCAUUUCACUGACCAACGUUUGCACAGUUGAUUCAAGUUGAUUUACUCGAGCAGCAUAAUCUGGGUCGUUUAGAAGCAAUCGUUUUCCUCUCUCGCUACUACUUACACACACAAGAAUUAAAUGAAAUUGAAAAAUAAUAAAUGGUAACAUUGUUCUUCCACAACCUACACUGGAUAUAAGUUCAAGCUAUUCUUAUCAUAUAUGUAGAUCACAUUGAUUGUAAGUCGG